UUCGCCAUCUCCCAAUUUGACAUCUCCUGCCUGAAAAAAAAAAAAAAAAAAGAAAAAAAAAAAGAAGAACAAACGUUUUCGGUAGCUCUCUCGUCGAGCUGCAGAAGCCGCCGAGGACGUUCGUGCUGCCAUGUGAAACUUUUGUUUUGCUUCUGGCCCUAGGCAGAUGGCACUGCGAUGCGUAUAUAUCGCUUAGCACGGUUGGGAGGAGGACCAAAGAUAGCAUCUUGAUGUUCUACUCGCCGAGCUGCUGUGUCAACCUCCCCGGCUCUCACAGUAUUUUUUACUUCGCGGCUCCAGAGGGGACGGGUUUCCCUACGAAUGUGCUUAAAACCCGCCCGUUUGGAAAGAAAUCUCGGCUCGGCGCAUGGGAGAAGAACCUUUUGCAUUACCCGACGUCGCAUUUCUAUAGAUGAAGGGGUAAAAGCCGGGCUCCGCUGCGUUUUUCUGAGCUCGUUCAGCAAGCGAUCCGGUCGGAGGGAGAGGCAGGGGAGGUCCGUGCGCGCCGGAAAAUGAUGUUUUUCUCCCCAAAUUUUCCGUCCUACCAAAUUUUCCGCCCCGGUUCAAGCUGCUUGCGGCUCCGAGCAGCGCUUUUGUCCCCGGCCGGAACGGGGGGCAGGAGGCAACGAUCCAGCCCCGGGGAAAGCGAGAGAGAAGGGGCAGGAAGAGCCGGGCGGGCGGCUGGAGGGGACGGACGGGAAAGAGGGAGACGGGACGCAGAAACGGGCAGAGAGAGGAGGAAAAGGAGGAGGACGAGCUCUCUAAGCCGAGCUGUUUGUCCUCCAGCACCCACCGCUGCUCUGAACAACCUGCGCCGCCGCCGUUCAUCAGGCCGGUGCCGGCGGGCGGGCACCGCCGGGGAGCUCCCCAAAAUCCGUGGCUCCCGGUGGGCAGAGGAGGAGAGGGCACGGCGGCGGCGGGGGCCCGGGCGGCACCGGAGGGAGAUGCGGGGAAAUUCCACUCCAAAGCGACGUUCUCCGGUUCUCUGGUGAGGCGGCGGGCACCGAAACCCGAAGGCGGCGACAGGGCAAGCGGCGGGGGGCCCCUCCAGCCCAAGCGAUGCUCCCGGUCCUUUCCCCCCGGGGCUACCGGGGACCCGUCGCCCCCUCCGCCCUGCAGCUGCCCAAAGGGCUACCUUUUUCGCUGGCGAUUUUCAAAAGCAAGUGCUCCCGUGGCCGCUCCCGGGGCGAAACCUCUUCCCUUCCACCUCCGCCAGCCCCGCCGCCUCUUCCCUUCUCCGCCGCGGUCCCGGGCCGCCCGUCCCUUGGCCCCGGCGACGGAGAACCGUGCUCCUCCUGCCUCCCGAGCAUCCCUCCCGGACUCCUCGUCUCUCACGGCGCAGGAACUCCUGCAGUUCCCAUCUUUGCCGCCAAACCGGUUCACGAGGACGGGGUUGGUCCGGCCGUGCCCGGCCCCGGUUCCCAGCCCCGCCGCCGGUCGGGCAGCGGGCGGAGGGUGGCCGCGGCCCCGGCGAGCACCUUGCGCCCUCCCGAUUUU
rnacentral:lncRNA from 1 species